CUAUUCCCUAUGUAUACACCUCUAUGCCCUCUCUUGGUGUCCACCCAUCGCUGCCAGAGCGACUGGGAGACUCCAACUCCCUCUGGACCUUUUCGCUUAGAGCCCGUGCCAUGGCCAUGAUCUUCAUCAUCACCCGUGAAGGAAUCUCUCUCCGGUACUCCUCUUUCUCCAUAUGUGGAUGCAUCUGUACUUGAUGUCCCACCUUCCUAUAAUCCAGCAACCCCACA
rnacentral:lncRNA from 1 species